rnacentral:rRNA from 1 species
UACGUAGGGUGCAAGCGUUAAUCGGAAUUACUGGGCGUAAAGGGCGCGUAGGCGGCCUUCUAAGUCAGACGUGAAAUCCCCCGGCUUAACCUGGGAACUGCGUCCGAUACUGGAUGGCUUGAAUUCGGGAGAGGGAUGCAGAAUUCCAGGUGUAGCGGUGAAAUGCGUAGAUAUCUGGAGGAAUACCGGUGGCGAAGGCGGCAUCCUGGACCGACAUUGACGCUGAGGAGCGAAAGCUAGGGGAGCAAACGGG